rnacentral:rRNA from 1 species
UACGGAGGGAGCUAGCGUUGUUCGGAAUUACUGGGCGUAAAGCGCGCGUAGGCGGCUUUGUAAGUUAGAGGUGAAAGCCCGGGGCUCAACCCCGGAACUGCCUUUAAGACUGCAUCGCUUGAAUCCGGGAGAGGUGAGUGGAAUUCCGAGUGUAGAGGUGAAAUUCGUAGAUAUUCGGAAGAACACCAGUGGCGAAGGCGGCUCACUGGACCGGCAUUGACGCUGAGGUGCGACAGCGUGGGGAGCAAACAGG